rnacentral:rRNA from 1 species
AACGCGAAGAACCUUACCAAAUCUUGACAUCCCGAUGACAGACUGUGUAAAGCAGUUUCUCUUCGGAGCAUCGGUGACAGGUGGUGCAUGGUUGUCGUCAGCUCGUGUCGUGAGAUGUUGGGUUAAGUCCCGCAACGAGCGCAACCCUUGUCUUUAGUAGCCAGCAUUUAGGAUGGGCACUCUAGAGAGACCGCCAGGGAUAACCUGGAGGAAGGUGGGGAUGACGUCAAAUCAUCAUGCCCCUUAUGAUUUGGGCUACACACGUGCUACAAUGGCGUAAACAAAGAGAAGCAAAGGAGUGAUCCGGAGCAAAUCUCAAAAAUAACGUCUCAGUUCGGAUUGUAGUCUGCAACUCGACUACAUGAAGCUGGAAUCGCUAGUAAUCGCGAAUCAGAAUGUCGCGGUGAAUACGUUCCCGGGUCUUGUACACACGC